ACGAGGAAGCUGUCUGAAAGGGAUGUUCGGGUGCUAACCCGGAUUGUAUCCAAAAACAUAAAACCACGGCUCCCCAAGUCACAGCAGAAUUAAAUGAGUGAUUCUCACCAAAUCAGACUCAUGAGGUGGCAUUAGGGAUUGUGAUGAACAGAUAAAUGCUAUCAAUUUGGGAAAACACUGGUUUAUAAACAUCUCAUCAUAGGCUAUAUUGGAAGUGAUUAAAAGAAGACAUUGUGAUAUUUUAAAUUAUGUAUUUUUUACAAUUUAAUGUGAAAUUCUCAGUACCGCAACGCGUCAAUUACUGAAUCUCGGCUCUUCAACUACAUAAUUUUAAUAUUUAAAAUAAAUAAAUAAUAAAAAACUUAAAUGUAUCUCAUAAGGUAAAUUGUUACAUUCAAUAAAAAGUUAUUGCUUGGAAUUCACUGGUAAAAGAAAAGAAAAUAUUUAUAAAAAGAACUUUGGUCACACCCAAUAUUCUCAGCAUCCGCAACAAUUUUCAAGCACCAAGGAACAGACAAAAAACAGCCAUUUUGAGAGGUGGGACACCUUUUACUGUAACACCCAAGAUGGCUACCAGGUAAGCACCUCAUUUUAUAUCUCUCCAGAUAAAUGUUAAAAACUUCAUUGUCAGCGAGCAUACACAACUUUUCGUUUCUCAUUACCGAAACAGCAAGUUUUCAAUGUUUAAAAAAUGAAAAUUUUAUUGUGUUUUGGGAAUUUUUAAGGUUUUUAAAGUCUAAAUACAAAAAGCUAGCAAGGGCCCAGAGAGGCCCCAGAAGGUCAAGGUCACUCAGGCUCCGCAACAGCUUUCUCAUACACCGCAACAAUUAAAAGCUACAAGAACAAAAACAAACCAAAUGUGUUCUUAAUCUCACUCCAAAUUCUUCUGUGAGUGAAUUAAGUGAUUCUUCAGCAAUAGCUGAAGUAAAUAAGCCAAGACCUGAGGAUCACGUAUCAAUACAAGACGAUGUACCAACACCACCACUGCAGUCAUUAACCCCAAAGAGAAGCACAAUCAGAAAGAAAUCAAAAUUUAUCAACAGAUUGAGGACCAAACUGAGACAGGCAGAAGAGGAAUUAAAAAAAAAAAAACGGAAAGAAAUGCAGAAUCUCAACAAGAAAUUUAGGAGACUUCAAGCACGAAGGGUGACUGUGACCAAGCAGAUUGCCACGACCGCAAAAAAACAAAAAAGUCAGGCAGCAGAAAGGUGGCAUUUCGCUCAACAACAAGAGGAAAGGCCUGUUGAAAAUGGUACAUUCUUUCCUCCAUAGAGAUGAUGUAUCUACUGCGGUCAACGGAAAAUCUGGGGAGAUCCGGCGGAGAGAAGUGAUCCAUAGGAAAAGGCACUUGUGUGACACAAUGGCUAACCUGCACAAGAAGUUUUUAGGUACAUCCGCCAACAACACCCCAAUGUAUGCAACAUACAUUUUGUUUCUGAUGGCCCAACAUCCCAAUACAGAAACAGAAAUUUGUUCUACUUGGCCUCCACUGUACCAUUCCUCCAUGGAUUUAAAUACGUGACAUAGAACUUCACAGAGGCGUCUCAUGGAAAAGGAGCCCCAGAUGGCGUGGGGGCAGCCUUAAAAAACCUGGCAAACCGAAUAGUGGCAUACGGCCAAAGCAUCCCAGAUGCAGAUACUCUGUUUCAGCAGCUGACCCUGAACUCCUCUGUAACUCUAUUCCAGGUGUCUGAGGACAAAAUUAAAGAGAGGGGUGAAUUGCUUCCUCCACACCUUAAGCCAGUCCCAGGGACAAUGAAAAUCCACCAAGUAGGUCAAAAUUAAUAUAUUUAAGUGCUCACAUAACAAGUCACACUAGCCACAUACUGUAAGUUAGUACAUUCAAGAUAUCAUUAUCUUGCCAUCCUAAUCACAUUUCCAUAAAUUAGUAAAUCAGUAGAUAAAUUACUAAAACUGUUUUUGUUAAUCUAUACAACAGCUGAUGUCCACCACUCCUGGGGUAGUUCACACGAGGGAAGUGUCAUGUUUCUGUCAGAAAAAUUGUGAGUGCUUCUCUCCAUCACGCAAUGCAUUUGCAGAGGAAGACGACGUUUCCACAAAGCUACCAGAGGCUUCCAUAGAGGUUGGCCAGUGGGUCCUUGUGGAAUACAACGCAGAUCUGUUCCCCGGUGUAGUUACAGAGGUAAAAAAAAA